UCGGGAAUCUUCCGCAAUGGGCGAAAGCCUGACGGAGCGACGCCGCGUGAGCGAUGAAGGCCUUCGGGUUGUAAAGCUCUGUGGGGAGGGAAGAAUAAGGGCAGGCGAAUACCCUGUUUGAUGACGGUACCUCCUUAGCAAGCACCGGCUAACUCUGUGCCAGCAGCCGCGGUAAGACAGAGGGUGCAAACGUUGUUCGGAUUUACUGGGCGUAAAGCGCGUGUAGGCGGCUUGGCAAGUCGGAUGUGAAAGCCCACGGCUCAACCGUGGAAGCGCAUCCGAAACUGCUUCGCUCGAGUCUCGGAGAGGAAGGUGGAAUGCUUGGUGUAGAGGUGAAAUUCGUAGAUAUCAAGCAGAACACCUGCGGCGAAGGCGGCCUUCUGGACGAUGACUGACGCUGAGACGCGAAAGCGUGGGGAGCAAACAGGAUUAGAUACCCUGGUAGUCCACGCCGUAAACGAUGAGUGCUAGGUGUC
rnacentral:rRNA from 1 species